ensembl:lncRNA
AUUUAUUAUGGAAUAUUGCAUAUUGCAUCUUGAAACUAAAAAUAAAAACAUUAUGGAAUAUAAAAUUUGUUAUAUUCUGAAACUGACUUUAAAAAGCUCAGUAUUCUUUAUCAGCACGCUUUCAAAUUUUAAAAGCAUGCUUUUCAUUAACCAAUUAUCCCAACUAUUCCCAAAUUAGAUAUUUAAACAGAAUUAAAUUAACAUUCAGUCACACACACACAAAUUAGUAAUGGGGCAACCUAAACCUUAAAGCCCAAAAACAAAAAGGAUUUGUUUAUAACAUCCAUUAGGAUUUUAUUCACUAAGUGCACAAAUCAACUAAAGUGCCUGUACACAGUGUUCCGUGAAUUACCUGUGUUGUUCAAAUGUAUUUCAUCCACUGGCACCAGUGGCUACGAUAUAUUAUAAUAAAUUUCCCCCCUUAACCUGCAGUAUAUGUAAUUAUAAAACCAAUACCUGUUUAGGACAUGUGAAUUAUGGUUGUUUCAUUUUUAUUCACAAAUAUAACCGCAUGAGUUACAGGUUACAAAUCUAACAUGUCAAUUACACUCAUGAUCUGUUUCUAUAGACAAUGCAAUAUUAUGAACCAUGAUUAUGGUUUAUUGAAGAUGCAGCCUGGUGAUACUGCAUGCAUCUUUCUGGACACCACUGUGACUGGUCAGUACAACAAAUCAAAGGUUGACAUUGUGAUUGGUCUAUCGAGCGGCCAAUUAAACACUUAAACUCUUGUUGAGUCAUGGCCAUUAUGAACAGAAAUAUGGUGCUUCAGGAUACUGGACACAGGAUUUGCUCCUUUCUUGGUUUGUCCACAUCAGACAGAGAAAGAAAGGAAAUAAGAGGAUACAUUAAGUUUGAUGUCAUGAAGGCAAAUCCUAUGACAAACCUCACAGCUGAUCCACUAACUUCAGUAUCUCUCGAUUCCUGUGUACAGGUAAGUUUACAAAUAGACACAUUAAGCGAUUCAUUCGUUUCAUUGACUGUAUCUCAACACAUUUUAUAUAAUGCCUGGGACUGGAAGGAUCACUUCAAUUUGUCCCAAAAUAAGCAGUCUGAUCAACACUACAAGAAGAAAAUAAAGAAAACGUUACAGGGAGGUGGUUUGUUAAGAAAAGCAAGAAAAGGAAAACAGUCACCUGUGAAAUUAAAACUGUCUUGUCUUGUUAAAAAUAACAAAUAAUUAAAAAAAGACAUUAAAAAUUUUCUCAUCAGUUUUAAUCAAAACCAUACUGAGGCAUCAGCCCAAAAAUACAUAGCCAUGGGGAAUAAAAGAGAACAUGUUUCAGUUUGAAAAGAAAAUGAUGGGACUCACAUUUGCUUUGUAAGCAUGCUGACACAAAAUACAUGUAUACGGCACUAGGACACGUUCAUAAAAUACGAAUUCAUAAAAUACAAAUAACAACUACAAUGCCAUCAAUAAGAGACUAAAAGCCAACCCAAUAUGAGUGGGAUGGGGGAGUUCAAGACAUCAUUAUGGCACUUCAUUGGAUCAUAUGACAGCACAAAUAAGACAUUUAAUUGAGCAGGUACAUUCAGUUACACAAUCACAUAUUGACCAGAAUGUGGAAACUCAAACUGGUCAUUAUAUUUUCACAGUUGUGAUCCUCCCAGCAUUCUACUCAAGAGAAUAGGAGAAAUGCUAACAUUGUUAGGGAAGAUACCUUAAUACAGGGAAAAAAGUU